UACGUAGGGUGCAAGCGUUGUCCGGAAUCAUUGGGCGUAAAGCGCGCGUAGGCGGGUUUGAAAGUCGGAGGUGAAAUGCUGGGGCUCAACUCCAUGCAGUGCCUCCGAUACUUCAAGUCUUGAGUGCGGUAGGGAGAAGUGGAAUGGCUGGUGUAGCGGUGAAAUGCGCAGAUAUCAGGAGGAACACCUAUUGCGAAGGGCAGCUCGCUGGGACGUAACUGACGCUGAGACGCGAAAGCGUGGGGAGCAAACAGG
rnacentral:rRNA from 1 species